rnacentral:rRNA from 1 species
AUUGAACGCUGGCGGCAUGCUUUACACAUGCAAGUCGAACGGCAGCGGGGACUUCGGUCCGCCGGCGAGUGGCGAACGGGUGAGUAAUGCAUCGGAACGUGCCUAUCAGUGGGGGAUAACGCUUCGAAAGGAGUGCUAAUACCGCAUAUUCUCCGAGGAGGAAAGCAGGGGACCUUAGGGCCUUGCGCUGAUAGAGCGGCCGAUGUCGGAUUAGCUAGUUGGUGAGGUAAAGGCUCACCAAGGCGACGAUCCGUAGCGGGUCUGAGAGGAUGAGCCGCCACACUGGGACUGGGACACGGCCCAGACUCCUACGGGAGGCAGCAGUGGGGAAUUUUGGACAAUGGGCGAAAGCCUGAUCCAGCCAUGCCGCGUGAGUGAAGAAGGCCUUCGGGUUGUAAAGCUCUUUUGUCCGGGAGGAAAUCCUGGCCUCUAAUACAGGUCGGGGAUGACAGUACUGGAAGAAUAAGCACCGGCUAACUACGUGCCAGCCGCCGCCGUAACAC